GUUUCACAGACAAAAUGAGCCCCCCCAAAAAAUAGAUUGAAAAGCAGAGAUAAAUCAACCGAGAAAGAUGACAUGUCAUUUGGAGACAAAGUGUUUUGACGACGCGUUGUCAAGGUUGAAUAUAUUUCUACAGGUCGCAGGAACGAGACUGGAAAAAUAUCAGCACAAAUGUGAUGAGUUGGAGAUGCAACACAAUGACUUCCCAUCUUAGUACUUUACUGUUGAGAAGGACAUGGGGCUCUACGUGAAGUCCUCACUGGCCCAGAAGGAGGAUGAGUUUACAGACCUGUCAGAGCAACUGCAGCUCAGUCAACUUCGCCAAGAGUUGCAGGAGAACAAGGACAAGCUCACCUUUUGAGAACAUGGUUCUUGGGGGUAAGCUGGAAGCUCCGGAGGAGUCCCUUGUGCAGAAGGAGGAGCUGAUGACUUGCCUGGAGGAGCAGCUCAGGAAGUAGAGACAGGAGCAUCACACAGUCAACUACAGCCUAGAGAGGAAGACCGUGCUGGACAGCGACAGGCCACCACCCACCUGUGUCACUUCAAGACAGGAGUCCUGGGCCUUAUACCGUGUUGUACACCCAACUACAACCACAUCCUGCCCAAGAUGGGACCCCUCUCCAAGAGCACCUGCCUUCAACUUCAUAGCCUCUUUGUUCGUCUGGAAACCCCCACCGCCCUAGAAGAGGACUAGUCCGUCCAAACCCUCUGGUCCAGAGUGCCUGGCUCCUCUGCUGGGUGACCCUUCCAGAGGGAGCCUGUUUACCCCCCACAGACCCACCCCAAUCAGGGGUAGCCCCAUUGAACCCAUCCUCAGAGAGGCAGGACAGGGCUUCAAACCCCUUUAAUGGGACAUUUCCAACAGAAAAUAAAUGGUGCUACUUGGUUAUGCAAAAAAUAUUGUCACUUAUACAUUUUAUUUUUCAGCCACUAGGUGGCAGCAACUAUACUUAGAAUAUGUCCUACUGUGUUAGACAAAGAUCUGCCACUGGAAAGUUUUCUAGAGAAAGCAAUCAAAAGCUCUGUUAUUUUGUGUUAUUAGUUUUUUAAAGACUGUAUCCAAAAAAUAAACAUCAGAAAUGUAUACUCAAAAGAUUAAGGCAUACAAAAAAGUAUUUAGUCAGCAACCAAUUGUGCAAGUUCUCCCACUUAAAAAGAUGAGAGGCCUGUAAUUUUCAUCAU